rnacentral:precursor_RNA from 1 species
UGGUCAGGAAUUACCUUAGGUAAUUCCUCCACUCAAAACCCUUCAGUGACUUCCAUGACAUGAAAUAGGAAGUCAUUGGAGGGUUUGAGCAGAGGAAUGACCUGUUUUAAAAGGCUCACUCA